rnacentral:rRNA from 1 species
AACGAACGCUGGCGGCAGGCUUAACACAUGCAAGUCGAGCGCCCCGCAAGGGGAGCGGCAGACGGGUGAGUAACGCGUGGGAACGUACCUUUUGGUUCGGAACAACUCCGGGAAACUGGAGCUAAUACCGGAUAAGCCCUAACGGGGAAAGAUUUAUCGCCGAAAGAUCGGCCCGCGUCUGAUUAGCUAGUUGGUGAGGUAACGGCUCACCAAGGCGACGAUCAGUAGCUGGUCUGAGAGGAUGAUCAGCCACACUGGGACUGAGACACGGCCCAGACUCCUACGGGAGGCAGCAGUGGGGAAUAUUGGACAAUGGGCGCAAGCCUGAUCCAGCCAUGCCGCGUGAGUGAUGAAGGCCUUAGGGUUGUAAAGCUCUUUUGUCCGGGAAGAUAAUGACUGUACCGGAAGAAUAAGCCCCGGCUAACUUCGUA